rnacentral:misc_RNA from 1 species
AAGUCGUAACAAGGUUUCUGUAGGUGAACCUGCAGAAGGAUCAUUAGUGAAGAAUUAGGGUGUCCCUUUUGGGAACCCGAACCUCACUUUCCAACACCAAACGUGAACUGUUACCCCCCAUUUUUUAAACGCAAAGUUUUUGGAUGUACACUGCGCAAGCGGUGGUUUAAAUUGAAAAAUUAAACAAAUAAAACUUUCAACAACGGAUGUCUUGGCUCUC